GACGAACGCUGGCGGCGUGCUUAACACAUGCAAGUCGAACGGAAAGGCCCUGCUUUUGUGGGGUGCUCGAGUGGCGAACGGGUGAGUAACACGUGGGUAACCUGCCCUUGACUUGGGAUAACUUCAGGAAACUGGGGCUAAUACCGGAUAGGAGCUCCUGCUGCAUGGUGGGGGUUGGAAAGUUUCGGCGGUUGGGGAUGGACUCGCGGCUUAUCAGCUUGUUGGUGGGGUAGUGGCUUACCAAGGCUUUGACGGGUAGCCGGCCUGAGAGGGUGACCGGCCACAGUGGGACUGAGAUACGGCCCAGACUCCUACGGGAGGCAGCAGUGGGGAAUAUUGCACAAUGGGCGGAAGCCUGAUGCAGCAACGCCGCGUGCGGGAUGACGGCCUUCGGGUUGUAAACCGCUUUCGCCUGUGACGAAGCGUGAGUGACGGUAAUGGGUAAAGAAGCACCGGCUAACUACGUG
rnacentral:rRNA from 1 species